rnacentral:tRNA from 1 species
CAGAAAAUAGUUUAAUUUAAAAUGCUAGUUUUGGGGACUAGCGAUAGGAUUUGAGUUCCUUUUUUUGA